UCUGAGUAUAGCUGUGGCCACUGUCUAGCUGGCUCUGGGACUUAGACCCAUGGCAGCAUGGUGCACAGCUUAAACUAGAAUUUUACCGUGGCCAUCAAUGCAUCAACAGCUGACUAGUCGGGUCGAUGGCCCAUAUGGUACUGAACACAGUGAGCAACAGCAGCCACAGGUGAUGACACAAACUCUUCCAAGCAGCUGUUACACAGUGACAAGAAGUGAGGUGAUGUAAUCUUAGCUUCGAUCACAUUCACAUUCACCAAACUACUGAGAACAAGAGAAAAAUGAAAAGAUGAAGAGUUCAUGAUGACAAGAGAACACCAAUGCCAAAGGAAACUUAGAAGGCUGGAAUAUUCCUUGUAAAGCAAAAUGCGUGUACUUUUUACGGGGACUUUUUCAAAUGCUGAAAGAGACGGAAAAGGUGAUUGCUUAAACUGAGGCGUGCUGCAAGUUCUUCACCUGAAGAAGCUUAGAAGGCACUCUUUGGAAAAUAAAAUAUAUUUUCUUUGUUGUUCCCACCAAAGAGCCAAGAAAAAGAAGAAGUGCACCUUUCCCAUCCCACAUGUAAGCAAGGUAAAAUCUGUUCUUAUGCAAUCUUUGUUCUGACUCAAUGGCAAGUCUGACUAUUCCUCUUCACAGUAUCCCCGUGUGCUCUCGGGGACACUCCUGACAGUG